UACGUAGGGGGCAAGCGUUAUCCGGAAUUAUUGGGCGUAAAGAGUGCGUAGGUGGUUUUGUAAGCGCGAGGUGAAAGGCUAUGGCUCAACCAUAGUAAGCCUUGUGAACUGUAAGACUUGAGUGCAGGAGAGGAAAGUGGAAUUCCUAGUGUAGCGGUGAAAUGCGUAGAUAUUAGGAGGAACACCAGUGGCGAAGGCGACUUUCUGGACUGUAACUGACGCUGAGACGCGAAAGCGUGGGGAGCAAACA
rnacentral:rRNA from 1 species